rnacentral:tRNA from 1 species
UCCCUGGUGGUCCAGUGGCUGAGAUUCUGUGCUCUCAAUGCAGGGGGGCCUGGGUUCGAUCCCUGGUCGGGGAA